CAGAUUCCGCCUGCUCCAUCAAAACAACGGACACCACCUACCGAUACCGAUGGGACGUGCCCAGGUUUGCGGGAACGCGCUUCACUUUUCAAGUCUCUGCCAACAACGACGCCCACAUCGGCCUGUCACCACUCGGCCGAGACGUGGAAGACAUGUACGAAAUCGUCCUCGGUGGAUGGGGGAACGCAAAAUCGGCUAUACGCCGAAAAAGGCAGGGCCCCGAUCUCGUCAAUGUCGCGACACCAGCUAUCAACUCGCCAACAGAAUACAGGACCUUUUGGAUAAACUUGGCCGCAGACGGAACCAUUUCUGUCGGAAAGGGGGGUGUCGCUGCGCCGUUUAUGUCGUGGAGGGAUCCCAACCCGAUCCGCGUCUCUUAUGCAGGGUACUCUACAGGCUGGGGGAGCACUGGGCGCUGGAAGUUCUGCUCAGGUC